rnacentral:rRNA from 1 species
CCAGCGAACUUGGCAGAGAUGCCUUGGUGCCUUCGGGAACGCUGAGACAGGUGCUGCAUGGCUGUCGUCAGCUCGUGUUGUGAGAUGUUGGGUUAAGUCCCGCAACGAGCGCAACCCUUAUCCUUUGUUGCCAGCGAUUCGGUCGGGAACUCAAAGGAGACUGCCGGUGAUAAACCGGAGGAAGGUGGGGAUGACGUCAAGUCAUCAUGGCCCUUACGAGUAGGGCUACACACGUGCUACAAUGGCGCAUACAAAGAGAAGCGACCUCGCGAGAGCAAGCGGACCUCAUAAAGUGCGUCGUAGUCCGGAUCGGAGUCUGCAACUCGACUCCGUGAAGUCGGAAUCGCUAGUAAUCGUGGAUCAGAAUGCCACGGUGAAUACGUUCCCGGGCCUUGUACACACCGCCCGUCACACCAUGGGAGUGGGUUGCAAAAGAAGUAGGUAGCUUAACCUUCGGGAGGGCGCUUACCACUUUGUGAUUCAUGACUGGGGUGAAGUCGUAACAAGGUAAGCGUAGCGAG